rnacentral:rRNA from 1 species
UACGUAGGCAGCGAGCGUUGUUCGGAGUUACUGGGCGUAAAGAGCGCGCAGGCGGUCGUGCAAGUCGCAUGUGAAAGCCCCCGGCUCAACUGGGGAGGGUCACGCGAUACUGCUCGACUCGAAGGCAGGAGAGGGAAGUGGAAUUCCCGGUGUAGUGGUGAAAUGCUUAGAUAUCGUCAAGAACACCAAUAGUGAAGACAGCUUACUGGGCUUAAACUGACGCUGAGGCACGAAAGUGUGGGGAUCAAACAGG